rnacentral:rRNA from 1 species
CUAGUAAUCGCGAAUCAGAAUGUCGCGGUGAAUACGUUCCCGGGCCUUGUACACACCGCCCGUCACACCAUGAGAGUCGAUAACACCCGAAGCCUGUGAGCUAACCUUUCAGGAGGCAGCAGUCGAAGGUGGGGUUGAUGAUUGGGGUGAAGUCGUAACAAGGUACC